GGGCCCAUAGCUCAACUGGAUAGAGUAUCAGCCUCCGAAGCUGAGGGUUGAGAGUUCAAAUCUCUCUGGGCCCA
rnacentral:tRNA from 1 species